GGCAUUGAAACCGUAUCUCUAUCUUCGUUGGUGGCGCUGGUGGGAUACAGCCCUGACUGUAUUGAAAUUCUAACGUACGGUUCUCAUCGACCGGGGAGACAGUGUCAGGUGGGCAGUUUGACUGGGGCGGUCGACUCCUAAAGUGUAACGGAGGCGCCCAAAGGUUCCCUCAGAAUGGUUGUAAAUCAUUCGUAGAGUGCAAAGGCAUAAGGUAGCUUUACUGCUAGACCUAAAAGUC
rnacentral:rRNA from 1 species